GAUGAUCGAAGUGUCGUUAUUCCGAAUUGUAUGAUUCUGGAUUUGUAUAACAUUAUUUACAAAUGGAAAGAAGCUAAUCAAAUAGACUUCUGCGAGACACAAAACAACCUAUAUUCCUUAAUUGCCUGUGACGUAAGCUGGAAGUUGACCAGAGUUGAAACUUGGAUCCAUCAUUCAGAGGAUAACAAUUUUUUAACAAAUUUUUCUCAGAAGUCAAAUUCAAAGAUGCCUCUUUCGAGAUAGGAACUCUCCUGUUUAAGAGGUGGAAAUAGUUGACGUGGAGUUGAAUUUACAUCGU